rnacentral:misc_RNA from 1 species
GGAAGGAUCAUUAACAAAAAUUAAACUAAUAACUAACUGAAUGGUAUAUUGGGAACUAAACAUUCCCAAUAUUAAAUUUAAACUUAUAUGUUUAACCAUAUAAACAAAUCUAAGGUUGAUAAAACUUUAAAUUUUCAACGAUGGAUGUCUUGGCUCCCAUAUCGAUGAAGAACGCAGCUAGAGUGCGAUAUGCAAUGUGAAUUGCAGAACCAUGAAUCAUCGGAUCUUUGAACGCAACUGGCGCUGGUAAACCCAGCAUACUUGUUUCAGUGUGCGCAAACACAUAAAAAAUAAAAAUGUGAGAGAAUUUCUCUCAUGAAGUAAAUGCUCCCUGCAGCAGUCACAUUCUUUGUGAACUGAUUAGGGUUGACCCUUUGCCUUCUAUGCACCUGAAAUCAAGUAAGAUGACCCGCUGGACUUAAGCAUAUUACUAAGCGGAGGAGAAGAAAUUAACAAAGAUUGCCUUAGUAAGGGCGACUGAACCGGCAAAAGCUCAAAAUUGGAAUCGGAGAUUCAAAGAAUCUUCGAAUUGUAAUCAGGUCCGCCUAAAUACGUGAGAUCGCUCAAGUACGUCGAAACGUACGCCAGAGAGGGUGAAAGUCCCGUACAGCGUUUUCACGAGUAAGGGGGGCUCCAAAAGAGUCGGGUUGCUUGGAACUGCAGCCCUAAGUGGGAGAUAUGAAUCUUCCAAAGCUAAAUAUGGAUGGGAGACCGAUAGCGAACAAGUACUGUGAAGGAAAGAUGAAAAGGACUUUGAAAAGAGAGUGAAAAGAUCUGAAAUCGUUGAGAAGGAAGCGGUAGAAACUGACGGUCGUGCUGACAGAUUACGAGGGUUAAACUUCGGAAGUCUGACCAGAGCGACGGACAAAAUCAAGUCAGAUGCGUCAAAAAAGGCUUUGCCGGACAGGACGUAUUUGGCUUGAGGGACUAUUGUGAUUUUGUCAAAAUGGUUUCUACCGUCCCGUCUUGAAACACGGACCAAGGAGUCUAACAUAUAUGCGAGUGUGCGAGUGGAGAAACUCAUACGCGGAAUGAAAGUAAAAGGUGCGCAGCGCAAGCGGCAGCAUCGACCGACCUAGUACGAAAGGUUUGAGUAUGAGCAUAUCUGUUAGGACCCGAAAGAUGGUGAACUAUGCCUGAGUAGGGUGAAGUCAGGGGAAACCCUGAUGGAGGCUCGUAGAGCUGCUGACGUGCAAAUCGCUCUCCAAACUUGGGUAUAGGGGCGAAAGACUAAUCGAACCAUCUAGUAGCUGGUUCCCUC